rnacentral:rRNA from 1 species
UACGGAGGGUGCAAGCGUUGCUCGGAAUCACUGGGCGUAAAGCGUCCGCAGGCGGUGUGAUAAGUCGGGUGUGAAAGCCCAGGGCUCAACCCUGGAACUGCAUUCGAAACUGUCACGCUUGAGUACGGGAGAGGGAAGCGGAAUUCCUGGUGUAGAGGUGAAAUUCGUAGAUAUCAGGAGGAACACCGGUGGCGAAAGCGGCUUCCUGGCCCGAUACUGACGCUCAUGGACGAAAGCGUGGGGAGCAAACAGG